rnacentral:rRNA from 1 species
GAUGAACGCUGGCGGCGUGCUUAACACAUGCAAGUCGAACGGGAUCCAUCAAGCUUGCUUGGUGGUGAGAGUGGCGAACGGGUGAGUAAUGCGUGACCGACCUGCCCCAUACACCGGAAUAGCUCCUGGAAACGGGUGGUAAUGCCGGAUGCUCCGGCCUGCCGCAUGGUGGGCUGGGAAAGAUUGUAUCGGUAUGGGAUGGGGUCGCGUCCUAUCAGGUAGUCGGCGGGGUAACGGCCCACCGAGCCUACGACGGGUAGCCGGCCUGAGAGGGCGACCGGCCACAUUGGGACUGAGAUACGGCCCAGACUCCUACGGGAGGCAGCAGUGGGGAAUAUUGCACAAUGGGCGCAAGCCUGAUGCAGCGACGCCGCGUGCGGGAUGACGGCCUUCGGGUUGUAAACCGCUUUUGAUCGGGAGCAAGCCUUCGGGUGAGUGUACCUUUCGAAUAAGCAC